rnacentral:rRNA from 1 species
UACCAGCACCCCGAGUGGUCGGGACGAUUAUUGGGCCUAAAGCAUCCGUAGCCGGUUCUACAAGUCUUCCGUUAAAUCCACCUGCUUAACAGAUGGGCUGCGGAGGAUACUAUGGAGCUAGGAGGCGGGAGAGGCAAGCGGUACUUAAUGGGUAGGGGUAAAAUCCGUUGAUCCAUUGAAGACCACCAGUGGCGAAGGCGGCUUGCCAGAACGCACUCGACGGUGAGGGAUGAAAGCUGGGGGAGCAAACCGG